GACGAACGCUGGCGGCGUGCUUAACACAUGCAAGUCGAACGGAAAGGCCUGCUUUCCCUUGUGGAUUGCGGGUACUCGAGUGGCGAACGGGUGAGUAACACGUGAGUGAUCUGCCCCCAACUUGGGUAUAAGCCUGGGAAACUGGGUCUAAUUCCCGAUAGGACUGCAGGGUGGUGCCUGUGGUGGAAAACGAUUUUCUAGUGGUUGGGGAUGAGCUCGCGGCCUAUCAGCUUGUUGGUGGGGUAAUGGCCUACCAAGGCGGCGACGGGUAGCCGGCCUGGGAGGGUGGACGGCCAAAUUGGGACUGGGAUACGGCCAGACUCCUACGGGAGGCAGCAGUGGGGAAUAUUGCACAAUGGGCGGAAGCCUGAUGCAGCGACGCCGCGUGGGGGAUGACGGCCUUCGGGUUGUAAACUCCUUUCGACCGCGAGGAAGCCACCUGGUUGGAAGGGUGGUGACGGUAGUGGUAGAAGAAGCACCGGCUAACUACGU
rnacentral:rRNA from 1 species